rnacentral:rRNA from 1 species
AAAACGACUCUCGGCAACGGAUAUCUCGGCUCUUGCAUCGAUGAAGAACGUAGCGAAAUGCGAUACUUGGUGUGAAUUGCAGAAUCCCGUGAACCAUCGAGUCUUUGAACGCAAGUUGCGCCCGAAGCCAAUUUUUUGGCCGAGGGCACGCCUGCUUGGGUGUCGUGA